UAGAGUAUAAUGUAAGGGUAACAUAUUUAUUUUGGGUAUAAAAAAUUAUAGGUUCGAAUCUUAUUACUCUAA
rnacentral:tRNA from 1 species